ACGGGGGUUGCGAGCGUUGUCCGGAAUUACUAGGCGUAAAGGGCAGGCAGGUGGAUUUAUAAGUUUUCUGUUUAAGGCAACGGCUCACCCGUUGUAAGGCAGGAGAUACUGUAGAACUGGAAUGAGGUUGGGGAAGACAGAAUUCCUGGUGUAGCGGUGAAAUGCGUAGAUAUUAGGAGGAACUCCAAUGGCGAAGGGAGCAUACUGGACUGCAACUGAUACUGAGGCGCGUAAGUCAGGGGAGCAAUCGG
rnacentral:rRNA from 1 species